rnacentral:rRNA from 1 species
GUGGGGAAUAUUGGACAAUGGGCGAAAGCCUGAUCCAGCCAUGCCGCGUGUGUGAAGAAGGUCUUCGGAUUGUAAAGCACUUUAAGUUGGGAGGAAGGGCAGUAAGUUAAUACCUUGCUGUUUUGACGUUACCGACAGAAUAAGCACCGGCUAACUUCGUGCCAGCAGCCGCGGUAAUACGAAGGGUGCAAGCGUUAAUCGGAAUGACUGGGCGUAAAGCGCGCGUAGGUGGUUUUGUAAGUUGGAGGUGAAAUCCCCGGGCUCAACCUGGGAACUGCCUCCAAAACUGCAUGACUAGAGUACGGUAGAGGGUAGUGGAAUUUCCUGUGUAGCGGUGAAAUGCGUAGAUAUAGGAAGGAACACCAGUGGCGAAGGCGACUACCUGGACUGAUACUGACACUGAGGUGCGAAAGCGUGGGGAGCAAACAGGAUUAGAUACCCGUGUAGUCC